UACGUAGGGGGCUAGCGUUGUCCGGAUUUAUUGGGCGUAAAGAGCGUGUAGGCGGCCAGGUAGGUCUGCUGUGAAAACUCGAGGCUCAACCUCGAGACGUCGGCGGAAACCAUCUGGCUAGAGUCCGGAAGAGGAGAGUGGAAUUCCUGGUGUAGCGGUGAAAUGCGCAGAUAUACAGGAAGAACACCCCGUGGCGAAGGCGGCUCUCGUGGGACGGUACUGACGCUGAGACGCG
rnacentral:rRNA from 1 species